UACGUAGGGUGCAAGCGUUAAUCGGAAUUACUGGGCGUAAAGCGUGCGCAGGCGGUUUUGUAAGUCUGUCGUGAAAUCCCCGGGCUCAACCUGGGAAUUGCGAUGAAGACUGCAAGGCUUGAAUCUGGCAGAGGGGGGUAGAAUUCCACGUGUAGCAGUGAAAUGCGUAGAGAUGUGGAGGAACACCGAUGGCGAAGGCAGCCCCCCUGGGUCAAGAUUGACGCUCAUGCACGAAAGCGUGGGGAGCAAACAGG
rnacentral:rRNA from 1 species